UACGGAGGGUGCGAGCGUUGUCCGGAAUCACUGGGCGUAAAGGGCGCGUAGGCGGCCUGGCAAGUCGAUGGUGAAAGCCCGAGGCUCAACUUCGGGUCGGCCACUGAUACUGCUAGGCUUGAGUCGACUAGAGGCAGAUGGAAUUCCGGGUGUAGCGGUGGAAUGCGUAGAGAUCCGGAAGAACACCGGUGGCGAAGGCGGUCUGCUGGGGUCGAACUGACGCUGAGACGCGAAAGCGUGGGGAGCAAACAGG
rnacentral:rRNA from 1 species